CAACGAGAUGUGCCAUUUUCUAGAGAACUGUAGCAUUAUUAACUUAUAUUCGCUGGAGAAAAAAUUAAAAUGAACAGAUGAUAACAACAACAACAAGUUUGUUCCCACUAUUUUCCCACUAUUUUCUUUGGCAAUACCAAACUGGAAGCUGCAUUCUCAUUAUUACAAUCUCCAUUUUGGUUAUUAUACCAUCCAAGGAUGAACUCAUUAACAAGGGAAAAUAUGUAGAAUGUUCCCCUGCUGUUAAAGUAUAGCACCCAAACACGAUAAAAGGUCUUCACAGGUCUUAUAUCCUUUAUGGAGCCUGGGAGAUUUGUCAUCCAACUCCAAUACUCCCACCUAGGAGAGAAGCCUUCAACCUCUCCAGGAACUCCUGUCAUGAUGCUCAUUGGGUACUUAGAUAAACUUAACUGUUCCAUUGCCUCUUGACUUUUAUCUUUAGGCCUAGUCAAUUUGACUAGAUUAUAAAUCUUUGGGGGCAGUGGCUAUGCCUUAUAUACAUUCUUUUAUUUUCCUAGUUCUUCUUGAUUCAUGUAUCUAUCUGGAGACUAUUUAUUGAAUGCCUGCUAUGUGCCAGACACUGUGCUAGGCACUGGUGAUACAACCGUGAACAAAAGACACAUAGGUUAUUCUGUGCAUAGUCAUAGAGGUUGUAAAUAAAUGUUUGCUGUUGAUACUAGUUAUGGUAAUUCCCAGCCCUAAUUGUCUAGACGGAUUCAUAAACAGUGAGAUUCUAGGCUGAAACUGACCUACAUGCUGCAACAUAGUCUUGCUGGGCCAGUCAUGGGUGGAGCCCUGAGACGAAUAUGGAAUAUUGAGACUGUGAAUGUUUGGUAAAAAAGAACAGUCAUGAAGUUUACUUUUUGGGAGGCAUUGCAGCAGCCUUUGUACAAGGAUUGAUUAAGAGUAAAGACAACAGAUGAAAAACAUUCUGAGGAAAGGGGGAUGUUUAACUUUAGUCCAGGUUAGUAUAGCAUCCUCAUUGCUAUCAAUUCACUUCUACUGACUGUCUAAAUUGUGUAUGGUGCUCUAAAUAUGACUAUAGGACUUUACGUCAUCUUGCAUCCAAAAUUCAUUUAGCAGCGCACGUCAUUGUAUUAAGUUUGCAGAACAUAAUCCAUAAUACUAUGAAGAAAAAUAGACUUCAAUUUCCAAUAGAAAAAAUUAUAGACAAACGUUUGUGGAAAAAAGAAACUUUAGAAAGUUUUCAUAAGGACAUGAAUCAUAUACAUGAGAAUACUAAUGUUUUUAGGUCCAGGGUUGAUCCUUGUUUAUCUCACAUUGAGAGACAGGGAGGAGGAGUAUAAGGGACACACAGAGACUGGAGUCAGAGACCUGGCUUUUAGUCCCAACUCCCUCUGUUACUGUGUAACUUCAGCAGUUAAGCUUUGGGAACCUCAGUUUUCUCAUCUUUGAAGUGAAGGGAACAACAAGUGUCAUCUGUGAAGUGGGGUUGUGUGAAUAUGAUUAGCAAUAUUUUAAGCAGAGAAUCUUCUAUGAUGUUUGACACAGAAUGGAUGCUUAAACAAACAAACGAAUCUUUGGCAUCAACUGCCAUGUAGCUUCAGGUAAAGUGUAGACUAGAAAGCCAGCUAGAAGCACACAGUGGUAGUCCUGGGGGAUGGAUAACAAAAGUAAAAACAAAACAAAAACAUUACCAAAAACAUGCAGAUGGAUGAUGGUAAUGGUAGUAAAAUCCCACUAACAGUAAUGAAAGGAUAAAUCCAAAAGAAAAAUAGAAAAGGAGAAGCUAAAGUCUUCCUGCAUUUGAAAAGGAAGAAAAGAAAUUCCGAAAGUUAAAUAUUAAACAUAUUCAAUGACUAGUUAAUCCCUAAGGAAAACCAGUGGUGUAAAUAGGGCAAACUCUGGCUUUAAGGACAGAGCUGAAUUCCAAUACCAGUUCUGACACCUACAGACAGGGUGGAGUGUGUUAACCUGGGCAGGUUAACCAUUCUUAGUCUCAGUUUUCUCCUCUGAUAAAUAACAUAAGGAACUAUGCAUAAAAAACACCUAAUGCUGUUUGAGUACUGGUCUUCACACUAGGAUACAUCUGGACUGUCGAGGUCCAAUAGAAAUAUAACGUGAGCCACAAAUGUGAGGUACAUAUGUAAUAUGAAAUUUCCUAGAAGCCACAUUUAAAAAAGAAAAAAAGAAGCAGGUGAAAUUAAUUUGAGUAAUAUAAUUUAUUUAACUCCCUAUAUGCAAAACAUCAUUUCAUCAUGUAAUUGGUAUAAAAGUUAUUACUGCUUUUACUGAAUCUGUUGAGACUGCUGUUGUCUCUAUGGUUUAUUCUGUUAAUAUAAUGCAUUACUUGAUUGAUUUUCAGAUGUUAAACCAAUCUUGCAUUUCUGGGAAAAAUCCCUCUUGGUCAUGGUGUGUAAUCCUAUAUACAUACAUAUACACAAUCUUAUAUACACACAUACACACACACACACACACACACACACACACAUAUAUGUUGCUGGAUUUGGAUUGCUAGUAUUUUGUUGAGAAUGUUUGCACCUAUAUUUUUCGGGGAUAUUGAUCUGCAAUUUUCUUUUCUUCUGAUGUUUUUGUAUGGUUUUGUUAUCAAGAUAAUACUGGUCUCAUAGAAUGAGUUUGGAAGUAUACCUUCCUCUUCUAAUUUUUUGUAAGAGUGUAUGAAGGAUUGGUAUUAAUUCUUCUUUAAAUGUGUGGUAAAAUUCACCAAUGAAGCCAUCUGGGCCUAGACUUUUCUUUGUGGGAAGUUUUAAAAUUGGUAAUUCAAUCUCUUUACUUGUUAAAAGUCUAUUCUGAUUUUUUAUUUACUCUUAUUGUAGUUGCAGUUGUUUGUAUUUUUCUGGAAAUUUGUCCAUUUCAUCUAGGUGAUCUAACUUGACAGCCUAUGACUGUUCACAGUAUUCCCUUGCGAUCCUUUUGUUUCUGUGAGGUUAUUACUGAGGUUCCCUCUUUUAUUCCUGAUUUCAGUAAUUUGAGUCCUUGCUUUUUUCUUGGCCAGCCUAGGUUAAUUUUGUUGAUCUUUUUCAAAGAACUAACUUUUGGUCUUACUGAUG
rnacentral:lncRNA from 1 species